rnacentral:rRNA from 1 species
AUUGAACGCUGGCGGCAGGCCUAACACAUGCAAGUCGAGCGGAUGAAGGGGGCUUGCUUAUGGAUUCAGCGGCCGACGGGUGAGUAAUUCCUAGGAAUCUGACCGGUCGUGGGGGAUAACGUCCGGUAACGGGCGCUAAGCUCGCAUACGACCUGAGGUUGAAAGAGGAGGAUCUUGUGACCACACUCCAACAGCAUAGCCGAGGUUGGAUUCGCUAGUGGGUUGGGUAAUGGCCUACCAAGGCGACGACCAUGAACUGGUCUGAGAGGAUGAUCACUCACACUGGAACUGAGACACGGUCAAGACUCCUAGGGGAGGCGCCGGUGGGGAAUAUUGGACAAUGGGCGAAAGCCUGCUCCAGACCGGCCGCGUGUGUGAAGAAGGUCUUCGGAUUGUAAAGCACGUUAAGUUGGGAGGACGGUGAGUAAGUUAAUAACCUCCUGUUUUGACGUUAACAACAGAAUAAGCACCGGCUAACUACGUG